UACGUAGGGCGCAAGCGUUAUCCGGAAUUACUGGGCGUAAAGAGCUCGUAGGCGGUUUGUCGCGUCUGCCGUGAAAGUCCGGGGCUUAACUCCGGAUCUGCGGUGGGUACGGGCAGACUUGAGUGAUGUAGGGGAGACUGGAAUUCCUGGUGUAGCGGUGAAAUGCGCAGAUAUCAGGAGGAACACCGAUGGCGAAGGCAGGUCUCUGGGCAUUAACUGACGCUGAGGAGCGAAAGCAUGGGGAGCGAACAGG
rnacentral:rRNA from 1 species